rnacentral:rRNA from 1 species
CCUACGGGAGGCAGCAGUAGGGAAUCUUCCACAAUGGACGAAAGUCUGAUGGAGCAACGCCGCGUGAGUGAAGAAGGGUUUCGGCUCGUAAAACUCUGUUGUUGAAGAAGAACACAUCUGAGAGUAACUGUUCAGGUGUUGACGGUAUUUAACCAGAAAGCCACGGCUAACUACGUGCCAGCAGCCGCGGUAAUA